rnacentral:rRNA from 1 species
GACGAACGCUGGCGGCGUGCCUAAUACAUGCAAGUCGAACGCUGAAGGAGGAGCUUGCUUCUCUGGAUGAGUUGCGCACGGGUGAGUAACGCGUAGGUAACCUGCCUGGUAGCGGGGGAUAACUAUUGGAAACGAUAGCUAAUACCGCAUAAGAGUAGAUGUUGCAUGACAUUUGCUUAAAAGGUGCAAUUGCAUCACUACCAGAUGGACCUGCGUUGGAUUAGGUAGUUGGUGGGGUAACGGCUCACCAAGGCGACGAUACAUAGCCGCCCUGGGAGGGGGAUCGGCCACACUGGGACUGAGAAACGGCCCAGACUCCUACGGGAGGCAGCAGGAGGGAAUCUUCGGCAAUGGACGGAAGUCUGAACGAGCAACGCCGCGGGGGUGAAGAAGGUUUUCGGAUCGGAAAGCUCUGUUGUAAGAGAAGAACGAGUGGGGUAGGGAAAAGUUCACACUGUGACGGUAUCUGACCAGAAAGGGACGGCUAACUACGUG